AACGAACGCUGGCGGCAGGCUUAACACAUGCAAGUCGAGCGCGUAGCAAUACGAGCGGCAGACGGGUGAGUAACGCGUGGGAACGUACCCUUUACUACGGAAUAACUCAGGGAAACUUGUGCUAAUACCGUAUGUGCCCUUCGGGGGAAAGAUUUAUCGGUAAGGGAUCGGCCCGCGUUGAAUUAGCUAGUUGGUGGGGUAAAGGCCUACCAAGGCGACGAUCCAUAGCUGGUCUGAGAGGAUGAUCAGCCACAUUGGGACUGAGACACGGCCCAAACUCCUACGGGAGGCAGCAGUGGGGAAUAUUGGACAAUGGGCGCAAGCCUGAUCCAGCCAUGCCGCGUGAGUGAUGAAGGCCUUAGGGUUGUAAAGCUCUUUCACCGAUGAAGAUAAUGACGGUAGUCGGAGAAGAAGCCCCGGCUAACUUCGUGCCAGCCGCCGCCGUAAAAC
rnacentral:rRNA from 1 species